CGCGGUUUGCCAAUCUUUCCCAAGAUGUAAUGAGAGGAAAGGAAUAUAAAUUUAUUAGUCAGUUUGCAUCGCUAUACCAGGUAUUCCUAAUGUGCAGUGACAAGAAGAGAGGACAGCUUUAUUAGCUCAGAGAACACGUUUGGCGGUGAGCAUCUUUUAGCACCCUGUCCAGAUGGCGCACGACGAUCGGAUGUGGGGGAGCCACCAAUAAAUAUAUUUCCACAUUUAAAGUACGGAAGAGGAAAAGAGUGUCGAUCAAAGAGCCAGAUCUCCAAGACAGCCAAGAUUGCCAUCACUGCCUCCGUAAUCUUUUGUAACAGAAGCUAAUGCAGAAACACCUGCCACACAAGCCGGGCACAUCCAGUCCUGUCGUCGUAAGCAGAUUACAUUCUGCAAUGCCAGGAUCAUCAAACUGAGGGCAAGUUUGAAUAACUGCUGUUUUAUGUUCUGCCUCCUCGUUUGCAUUCCCUGCAAACAACCUUUUGACCUCAAAACGAAGCCAUCCAAAAACCCAGCGAUGUACACACAUUAAAUAUUAUCUUUGUCUUA
ensembl:processed_transcript